rfam:Arthrobacter woluwensis strain DSM 10495 genome assembly, contig: Ga0074710_13
GGGGAUGAUCGGUUUCGACGAUGUCUGUCGACGCAGGUGAAGCGGGCCGAGGAUGCAGGCUUAUCUCGUAAACGAUGUCUGCAAACCAAUAAGUGCCGAAUCUAAGCGCACUGACUUCGCUCUUGCUGCCUAAGCAGUAAGACAGUCCGUCAGCCCACGGUUGCUAUCGCCGUGGAAUCUGGCGUCGUCUAGAUAGCCACUGCCAGGAGCCCUCGUCAUCGGGGCUUCUGGGACUUUCAGAUGACUGGGCCCGGAUCAGCCAGCUGUUUGCAGCAUGGCUGGGGCCGAGAAAAUCCGACGCAAACUGCGCCCGGAGAAGCCCUGCAGAAGCAACAUCGGACGCGGGUUCGAUUCCCGCCAUCUCCACCA